UGGCUCAGGGACGAACGCUGGCGGCGUGCCUAAUACAUGCAAGUCGAGCGAAUGGAUUAAGAGCUUGCUCUUAUGAAGUUAGCGGCGGACGGGUGAGUAACACGUGGGUAACCUGCCCAUAAGACUGGGAUAACUCCGGGAAACCGGGGCUAAUACCGGAUAACAUUUUGAACUGCAUGGUUCGAAAUUGAAAGGCGGCUUCGGCUGUCACUUAUGGAUGGACCCGCGUCGCAUUAGCUAGUUGGUGAGGUAACGGCUCACCAAGGCAACGAUGCGUAGCCGACCUGAGAGGGUGAUCGGCCACACUGGGACUGAGACACGGCCCAGACUCCUACGGNANNNGCAGUAGGA
rnacentral:rRNA from 1 species